UCUUUCUCGUGUCCAUGAGCCCAGGGUGCGUGAGGCCCAGGCUGGCACGGUAUCUCUUUCUCCCUAAACUGUCCCCAAAGCAGGCACAAUUUUGUGUGCUGCCCGCCCCCACUGUCAGUGCACUCUUCCAAGGGUUCCUGUGGAAUCCAGGCUCCAGUAAACACCCAAAGAGGAGGAAGUGGGCCAAGCAAUGAGCCUGCGAUUGCAUCAGGGCUGACGCACUCCCUGCCUUUUCCCCCACCUCAGUCUCCAGAGGAGCUCCUUGGGGCCAGGCCCAGCCCAGGAGAGAGGCUCAGGCCAAGGUGAAGAAGGGGAUGCUGGGGAGGGAUGCAAAUUAAAUUGCACUCUCCUUGGCUUGGGAAAGAAACAGCCAACAGAUUUGAAAGCUGGAGAUGAUGCAAAGAAGCCAAGGAGAAACAUGAAAACUCAAAUGUGCCCUGAACCAGUCUCAACCCCCAAGUCAAGGAAUGUAAAGUGCUGCAUUUUCUGGGAGCAAGAGAGCAAGUCUAUAUGGAAACUUGAGGUACUCUGAUGUGGUUUGGGAACCAAAAAAUAAGUGUUUAAGAGAGUACCAGGGGGCUUCCCUGGUGGCACAGUGGUUGAGAAUCUGCCUGCCAAUGCAGGGGACACGGGUUCGAGCCCUGGUCUGGGAGGAUCCCACAUGCCAUGGAGCAACUGGGCCUGUGAGCCACAACUACUGAGCCUGCGCGUCUGGAGUCUGUGCUCCGCAGCAAGAGUGGCCGCAAUAGUGAGAGGCCCGCGCACCGCGUUGAAGAGUGGCCCCCACUCGCCGCAACUAGAGAAAGCCCUCGCGCAGAAACGAAGACCCAACACAGCUAAAAAUAAU